UCUCCGUUGGUGAACCAGCGGAGGGAUCAUUACUGGGUGGCUUCGGCCUAAACCCCCAACCAUUGUGAACACGACCAGUUGCUCAGCAGGCUGGUGGCGGUGUAACAACUGCCCUGCCUGCGGCACAAAACUCUUCUAAUGUCAUCUCUGAGUUACUUUUAAAUAAGUCAAAACUUUCAACAACGGAUCUCUUGGUUCUGGCAUCGAUGAAGAACGCAGC
rnacentral:misc_RNA from 1 species